rnacentral:rRNA from 1 species
CCUACGGGAGGCUGCAGUGAGGAAUAUUGGUCAAUGGACGUGAGUCUGAACCAGCCAAGUAGCGUGAAGGAUGACUGCCCUAUGGGUUGUAAACUUCUUUUAUAAGGGAAUAAAACGCGGCACGUGUGCCUUUUUGCAUGUACUUUAUGAAUAAGGAUCGGCUAACUCCGUGCCAGCAGCCGCGGUAAUACGGAGGAUCCGGGCGUUAUCCGGAUUUAUUGGGUUUAAAGGGAGCGUAGAUGGGUUGUUAAGUCAGUGGUGAAAGUCUGGGCUCAACCGUAGAAUUGCAAUUGGUACUGGCAGGCUUGAGUGCAGGUGAGGUAGGCGGAAUUCGUGGUGUAGCGGUGAAAUGCUUAGAUAUCACGAAGAACCCCGAUUGCGAAGGCAGCUUACUAAACUGCGACUGACAUUGAUGCUCGAAAGUGUGGGUAUCAAACAGGAUUAGAUACCCCAGUAGUC